CGAAAUGCGAAAUAAUGGUGGGUGAAAUAAAUCGAAAUCGUAAGAAUUUGAUUUAUUUCAUCCGAUGGCCAAAAAUAGACGAAAAAGAUAUUUAUCAACUUAUUCGAACGAAUUUCGUGCAAUUUUCGAAGAUCGUCGAGCCUCAAGAUGUAGAAUUUAAGAAUGUCGUCUUUUUCCUCUCUACGGUGCACAUUCAACAUGAUGUAACUGCAGAAGAUAAUUUAUUCAUUAAAUUCCGAACACAAGAAAAUGAUUAAAGCAAAAUAAAAAAAAUUUAUAAAUUAAUUCAUUAAAAAGUAAAAUUGAUCUUUAUUAUUUUUAUUCUUACGAAAUUCGAACAUUGUUUACGCAUCUUUUAACGUUUGUUCGAAAUUCGUCACACGUGACACGAUUUGCAGUUCGUUUCUGUUUAUCGUUCGAGUCGAAUUUGCGUUUCUUGCACUCUUAAAUUGUGUGCUGUUUUGCCGUUUGCGGAGUUUUCUAAAGAAGGUAAAAGAAUUUUUAGAAAACAUCUCGGUUCAACGUUUGAUGGUCGGCCGUUUCCGCUUUCGAUUCGAAUCUUUUAGAUUUAAUCAGGGAACUGCGAAUGAAGAGUGGUUCCGCUCUCGGACUCUUAUCGCGCCCGAAGAGACGUUCGAGGACCGGGCGCUCGACCGUGUCUCUUCCCAAUCGAUUUGUUCGGUGCUGAAAGAGACCGUCGAGCAAAGGACAGCGGGUUUCCCCGCUACCUCUUGCUCGAUGGUCUCUUGGAAGGUGGUGUGGCAUACACCUCCCCCAAAUGCGUGUGGCGUGGCAUUCUCCCUGAGUUGGGAUAUUGCGACGCUACACUCUGGGUCCAUUGAACUUGGCCAAGGUCUCCGGGGAUCGGCCAGCCACAGAUCUUGUGGCUGGCCGAUCCCCAAAGACCUUGCCACAUGAUCUGUGGCUGCCACAGAUCUUGUGGCUUUAUUGUGGAGGAUAUAGAAACUGACAGCUUGUCCGAGUUGUCACUUCCCGUUUUCUCGCGUUCUGCCUCUCCGUCCGCCACGGGACGUCACUGCCUUCAGGAAGUCGAAGGGGAAAGAAUGGGAGGAGAGAGCUGCCGAAGUUGAGGAAUUUAUUUGUUUGUUUGGUUGGUUAAGUUACGGCAACGCAACACUUGGGCGAUCUGCCUAGGGGAUGCCUUGCGAGAGGUCUUUUUAAGGGUAACUGGUCUCGUAUUCAGGCGUUACAGACAUGGAGAAAACCCGAAAAACUUCAAGUGGCCAGCCUGUCCUGGCAAGGCGGGAACUCACAACCGAACUUCCAGUGUUCAGGGAACGAAACCGCUUGGCCACUGGUGGGCCCCGAAGUUGAGAAAGUGUCGGUGGUUUUGUUGCUGCGGACGGCUGCGGUUCCAUUGGCCUAGGCGGUAAUCCUCUUCGAUUUUCCCCAACUCGUCCUUCUGCACAAGCAUGCGACAUUCUUAUCGGAUUCAACACUUUUCAUUCGGACAUGACAUCUUUUCCUGGACGUAACCAUCUCUUAUCCGGGUGUGAUCACGGACUUGCUCCCAAAAGUGACAUUCGGUCGACGACAACGGUGACUCCCGAUUGUGACCACCCGGACGUGAAAGUCUCACCGGCCGCGACAUGCCGACAUUCGGCCAACCUCUCUUCCUAAACAGGCUUAUGAGGAUUGGUUAGGUUAGGUUAGAAUAGGCUAGGUAAAAUCCUUUGCUCCUCUCAUGACACUGUUCGGGAAGAAAGACUGUCUGAUAAAGGAUAAUUUGAGAAGGAGAAAAAUCUCUCUCCCCAACUUUACCACGAAGAGGGCGAAGUGGCCAUUUAUCAUAAAAGUGAAUAUUUCCCGAAAUCUCCGAUAACAUGCCGACAGAAAGAUUACUUGAGUCACGGACACGGACACAACAGCACACGAAGAUAUACACCGUUUAACAGUUACUCGAAUUCUCGAACUCACGCACUUACACGUCAAGCGCCUCGUUCUGUGUAAUUCGACACAAUGAAACAACCAGAACACUCGCUUCCCACAAAUCCAACCCCUGGGUCCUCGUCCCGGGAAGUAGAAACGUCAAUUUUAAAGAUUAAUUAAAAGACUUUAAAUUGGUGGCCGAUAAACUUGCAUCAAUUAAAUGGAAUUUCAGAUAUUCGCAUCAAUAAUCGUAUAGUGAUAAAUUUUUCUAUUAAGGUAGGUUUGUUCUUCCACGGCAUCUACCAACAACAGCGUAAUACGUUUGUAAAUUUUCUAAAAAGUAAUUUUUCGAGCUGCUUUCGAAUUUACAUAAGCCACUACUUCCCUCAACAAAAGUAUGAGGUAGUCCUAUCUUACGGUAGGAAACACAACACUAAUUUAAAAUAAUUAGUGUUAUUAAACAUCCUAUAAAUACUUUUAAUUUUUAAUUUGUUUAUUUAACUUCGCUGGUAACCCUCGAUGUUAAAUGUAUCCACCAUUUUUUCAACAAAUUUCCCGUGAGUCAAUGCGCGACGUUCACUGAGUCACGUGAUGUUGUGAACAUGCGCCGCAACGAUUUUUUCUUGGAGUUAAAACGUAAACCGUAAACUUCUGCUUGCCGUGUACAAGUAACGUUUGAACUGCGCCGCAACCUCUCUAUUGAUUAGACUGUUUGUUUGUUGCUUACAAUUUGUGUUCAUUUUAAAAUAAUUUUGGGCGUUUUCGUUAAGAGGAAGAAAACGGAGUCAAAAAAUUAAUAGUUAAGCCUGUAUAUAUGUUAUUAAUAUGGAAUGUCUUCGGGAUUCCUGAGAACUCUGAAUCAGGAAGAAAAGGGAAUGAUGAGAAUUAUAUAAUCUAAUUAUGGAAAUGUAUAGAAAUGUUAAACCAUGUGUUAGGAUAUAUUUAAAGUGUUACUAAUAAAAGAAAUUUAGGAUUUGAGGUGGCUUUGGAGUUUAUCAAAGCCCAUAUUUUAUUUAUUUGUUUAUUUAUUUAUUAAUAUUAGGUAAAUUAUUGUAGUUUGCAGUGAGAAAAGAGCUAUGAUAUAUGUUAUUCACAAUUUAUAUUGUGUUUAUUGAUGAGAUAGAGAUUAAAGUUGAGCCAAAAAAAAUUAGGAACAGGUCGGAGAAGGGGGAUUAAAAGUCAGUAGAUUUAACCCUUGAAUUUCAAAUAUACGCUGCCAGAGGAAAAAGAGGAAAUUCCAACUAUUUAGACAACAUAUUCAAGAUAGUUACAGACACAUAAUAACAGAGAUGAUUAGAGGGUGAUGAGUUAGAGGUUGACAAAUAAAAUAGGUAAAUGUAGGAUGGCAAGAGUUCAGACAGUAUUAUUAGAUAGUGAUAGUGAUUAGUGAUGACAUGGAAGCUAAAAGAAAGACAUGUUAGAUAUUCUACUUUUGAUAGUGCAGAAUAUUGUAUAAAUUACCAAACUAAGUUAUGUAGAGCCAACGUGUGUUAUAAGAAAUAUAAUUUCUCAUGUCAAAAAUACGAAACUAUUUCAUCCCAAAUACUAUUUCUCACUAUACUAAAUCAAGUAAAACUGUAUAGCACACUUUACGUAGUGUUAAAGUUAAUAAAUUAUUUAAAAAAUAGUUUGUAUCUGAAU
rnacentral:lncRNA from 1 species